rnacentral:lncRNA from 1 species
GGAGAAGCUCCUCCUCGGGCUCGGAGAGAUUCUUCUUGUAGGUGUUUUUCAGGAUCAUCUAACCUUCUCUCCAGUACCCCUCUGCAGGACUGAAGGAGGCUGUCAAACACAGACGGAUUGAAGUAACAGAGGCGGUCAGAAAAGAGCUAGAAUGGAGUGAGUUGAUGCAGAAGUAGGAAAAUUAACAUUACUAGCAGCCUCACUUUUGAUAAAAAUGUCAUCAAACUGAAGGUCAAAAAUGCACAUUUCUUUGUGGGCAAUGUUUUCAGUCUGGCAGCUUUGAAACCAGGAUUCACACCUCUCCCUCAAACACCAAAGAGACUCUGGAAAUGGAAUUUGCAGCCUAGGGCAGAGGCAGAAGUGGUGUCAGCAGGAGGAUGAUG